rnacentral:rRNA from 1 species
AUUGAACGCUGGCGGCAUGCCUUACACAUGCAAGUCGAACGGCAGCACGGGAGCAAUCCUGGUGGCGAGUGGCGAACGGGUGAGUAAAGUAUCGGAACGUGCCCAGUCGUGGGGGAUAACGUAGCGAAAGUUAUGCUAAUAUCGCAUACGAUCUAUGGAUGAAAGCGGGGGAUCGCCAGACCCGGCGCAAUUGGAGCGGCCGAGAUCAGGUUAGGUAGUUGGUGGGGUAAAGGCGCACCAAGCCGACGAUCUGUAGCUGGUCUGAGAGGACGACCAGCCACACUGGGACUGAGACACGGCCCAGACUCCUACGGGAGGCAGCAGUGGGGAAUUUUGGACAAUGGGCGAAAGCCUGAUCCAGCCAUGCCGCGUGCAGGAUGAAGGCCUUCGGGUUGUAAACUGCUUUUGUACGGAACGAAAAGGUUUGGCCUAAUAAGCUGAGCUCAUGACGGUACCGUAAGAAUAAGCACCGGCUAACUACGUGCCAGCCGCCGCGGUAA